AUCAGGUUAGUGCUUUGCACAGGUCGGUUUCAGCCAGUUGGAUUAUCCUUACUCUGGCAGGGGUGAGCCCCCAUUCAUGUGCUGCUGAACGGACCUGUCCAUGCAGGAUUCCGAAUUCCUGGGUGAGCCCCAGUGACAGCCCUCAUCACCUCACUUGACCUACCAGUCCCCAGGCCUCUCCAUUUUUUUUUUGUGCCACAAGUGCCCUAUAUAUAUUCACCGGGUGAGCCCCGAGUGUG